rnacentral:lncRNA from 1 species
GUUAAAGGUGUGGCACUUCCCGCUUCUCUCUCUCUCUCUCUUUCCUGCUCCGCCGCGGUGAGACGUACUUGCUUCUCCUCACCUUCUACCGUGAUUCUGGACUAGACAGAAGACUACAGUUCAAUAAGAAGGAAACACAUUCAUUUUCAGUAUUGUUAAUAAAGAAGCUUACCUAAAAGAAGGAAAUCAAAACAAGAUAAUCUACACUGCAACUAGGGGAGGCUAUUGAAUGUGAUGGUCCCCUCAGAUGCCUAGAGGAAGAUGAACAAUGGUAAUCAGAUAUCCUAAAGUUAUCUUUAGGGCACUGGCAAAAUAGCAGCAAUGCCUGGUGGAAGCUGACUUUGUGCAUACACAUGAGAGCCCACAGAAAACUUCAAACUUCAUGGAAAUAAAACCUUCAGCUGCAGCUAAGAAUUUGGAGGUUACUGAAGGAGGUUACUUUUUCAAGAGCAGAAGUAAGGAUUCCACUGAAUUUGCUCACCAAAGAUAAGUCAGCAAAGAAAACUUACUGAAGAAUACAGGAACAUAAAUCUUAAGCAGGCUUACAUAAGGAAGGGAAGUGGUUGAAUCUGAGGUAAUUCCAUGGUGGACUUUGAAGAAAGCCUUCCAUGAGUUCCCAGUCCAUAUCCUCCAAAAGUUAGAAUUUCUUUCAGCCAAUGAAGAAUUCUAUUGAGAAGCAUGAAUCUGUAAUUUUGCAUAUUCCAGAAUAGUUAUGAUCUAAACAUUACAUCCUGCUGUAUCCCUAAGUACUUGAAAUCUGGAUAUUCCAGUUUCAACAACGAGAUCUUAAAAUUACAGCAUAUCAGCUCCUGCUUUCCAGACAAACUUCCUGGGUCUUGGGAAGAAGAAAGCCUCAGACUAAGAACUCUCUCUGGACUCAGACAGCCUGAAUUCAAAUCCCAUCUCUAUUCUUACUAGUCAUAUGAACACAGGAGAACCAUAUCCAUUCAGCUCACUUUGGACCACCUGUGGAGCCUGAUAACCAGGGAACAGAGAACCUGUUGAGAUCCAAAUUUGUGUGCCAGAUCACAAACUCAUCUGAAGCAGAUGCCACGUGUUACACUGUUAUGUCUCUCAGAGACUCCAGCACUUUGAAAGUAUUAGGCCUUGCUUAUUGAGAUGAAUAUUUUUUUCUAGGCAUGUCCCAAAGUUCUCAGCAUAGCUACAACCCUGAUUUUCACAGGAUUUUCAUUAAAAUUAGGUUCUAGAGCAUUACUUCCCUAAUGUGCAAUGCAACUUACGUUUAGUUUUCAAAUCAAAAUUAGUUUUGUUUUUCCACUGUCUUUGUCUUUGAAAAUAUUGAACUUGGGAUUUCCAAAAUUAUAAUUAGCAAUUAUUUUUACAUAUCUUUUAUAUACAUAACUUUUACAAUGGCUGCCAUUAUCAUGUAGGUUCUUAGGAAGUGUUUCUGAUCCUUGUAAAUAAAAGUGAAAGAAGAAAUCUUUACUGCUUGCUGACCCAUGUGACUAACCUUGAAAUCAGAGAGGCAGAUUCAUUUAAAACAAACUUGCAAACUGUUAAGCAAAGUACUGAAUCUCUGUGACUUGACCAAAAGUAAUUCAGACUUGACUAUUCCAGGCUCCCUUCUAUCUCUGUAGCAACCCAUGCAUCAUAGACUCCAGUUGCAAUGGAUGGUCAAGGAAUCUGCUGUGCCUUUUGAGUCUCUCCAUUUUAUAUUGCCAAAUUUAUCUUCCUUUAAUACUUCACUUCACAUAAGACACUAAGAUAAACAAGGAUGCAACUCACUUAUAUUUCAAAAUAGUACCUAGUGGUUAAAAGUACUUGUUCUGAAAGCAACUCUAUUUUUCUAGUUCUAACAUGUCUCCAACUAGUUAUCUCACCUUGAGCUUGGCACAUAAUCACUCCAUCUUACUUUUGCAUCUGUGACACAAGAAAAAUACCACCCACCUCAACAUAGAUCUUAUGAAGAUUAAAAUAAGAUUAUGAAAGUAAAAUGCUCAGCACAAUGUCUAAACGAAAAUAAAUGCUCAGCAAGUAGGAGCUACUAUAAUUAUUAUCCAGAUCAAAUAUUUUCUCCUCUAUGAAGCUUUCUUAUUCUUCCCCAGCUGGAAUUACUUAUUUUCUUCCUUGCUUUCUACACCACACUUUAGUCACCACCAUGCUGGCACUUGUCUCACCGCAUUAUAAUUAUUUAUGUGCCUGUGUUCCAUAACCAGAAUAUGGGACUUAAGCUUCUUUAUACCUCCAGCAUAAUUGUUUCAUGUGUGCUUUUAGGUAAUGGAGUAAAAUGGAUGAAUGAGUGAAUGCGACUAUAGUACUAAAUGCUCUUAGAUAAAGAUGUAAUUAUUCUUAAGUGAUAAAAUUAUUCGAACAUGAGUAGUUCAGAUAAUGAGAGACUGUCAUAGAAUUACUUGAUAAAAUCUAGUCAAUAAAAUGGCUUGGCAAUAUAACCUUUAUGAUUUCUUUAAACAAUCAUUCAUUUCUUUCUGAAGAUGAGAAGAGGAGAUUCCUUCUCCCAUCUUUAUAUUUCAACAAUGAUUAGAAAACAAAUUGAUCUCUGGGAUCAGUGCCCAAUACCAUUAAAGUGGUAUACAUCUUACAAUUCUUAAUUAAUUUGUGGCAUACAUAUACCAGUCUCCACAGCCAGCUUCAUCUGCAUACAGCAGCAUAAUCACUUUUUUCCUUAUAGUAAAGACAUAUUAUGAGUCAUCAAAGUCUUCUCCGGGGGUUGUGGUUAUCAUCUGGUAAUCACACCCUUGGGAGGUUAAAAACACUUAUCUUUGGAUCAUGACUUGCAAUGCCCCAGGGGUGUGAUUAUCUCAGGCAACUCACACUUUCUGUCAUGCCUAAUUGCUUAAUUAUUAUAGCUGCAAGUUCACACCACCAUACAGGAACUCAUGUUGUGUCAGCAUUUCCACUAUAAAUUCCUUUUUCAAGAGUCUAUAACUCAGCCAUAAAAAAAAAAAAAAAAAAAACCUAUGGUCCAUUGAAGCACUGCAGUAAGAGUCUUAUUCCAGGAAACAUUUCUGUAAUAGGUUAAUUGUAUCUUAAAAAUUGGGUCCUGAUUCUCAUAGUUAGUUCACCAAAGAAAUAAAUGCUAAUUAAAUGUCUCUAAAUUAUAUAUUUUUCUGUAUGGCUGGGUAAAUAAUGUAAAUCCUAAAGACAUAAAUAUUAUUUUUUAAAUAUAACAAGAAUGGCUCAUACAAUUUCCAGUUUUUUGGAAAUACACUUACACAUAUUUAUAAAAUAUUAUAUAAGUAGAAUGAGCUAAACCAUAGUUAGAGAACAUUGUCAUAUGCAAUCAUGUACUACAUAAUAUUUCAGUCAGUGGACAGCAUGUGGCAGUGGUCACAUAAGAUUAUAACGCAGCUGAAAAAUUCCUGUUGUCUAAUGACAUCAUGGCUGUCAUAACUGUCAUGGCCGUCAUGGCCAUCUGAACAUUGUAGUACAAUGUAUUCCUCAUGUGUUUGUGGUGAUGCUGAUGUAAACAAGCAUCUGCACUGCCAGUUGUAUAAAAGUGUAGCACAUACAAUUAUGUACAUACAAUUAUGCACACACAAUUAUGUACAACACAUAAUAUUUUAUAAUGACAAUAAACAAUUUUGUUACCGGUUUAUGUAUUCACUGUACUAUACCUUUCAUCAUUAUUUUAGAGUGUACUCUUUCUACUUAUAUAUAAAAAAAAGUUAAUUGUAAAACAGCCUCUAGCAGGUCCUUCAGGACAUAUUCCAGAAGAAGGCAUUGUUAUCAUAGGAGAUGACGGUUCCAUGCGUGUUAUUGCCCCUGAAGACCUUCCAGUGGGUCAAGAUAUGGAGGUGAAAGACAGUGAUAUUGAUGAUCCUGACCCUGCGUAGGCCAAGUUUUCUUGACUUCACUUAAUCUGCUGGAAGCUGAUCCUUUUCAUGUCCAUGUUUAAGGAAGCGUUGAAGGUCACGUCACUCAAAGCCAACAUCAGCAGGCAUCCUACCAAGAUAAUCUCUGAAGAGGUCAGAGGCUAUGACGCCUGCAUUGAACUUUUUCUACUUUGAAGACUACUGUGAACUGAAUUGUAUCACACCCACCCUUUCCCAGAGUCCCCGAGAAUUCACAUGUUGAAGCCGUUACCCACCAUGUGACUGUUUUGGGAGACAGAGCCUUAAAAGAGGCACAAUUAUUACAAUUUAUUGUGGACAGGAAAACACAUGGAUGUUGAAUACCAGUUCCUGUGAAAGAUACUUGGGUUUCGGGAUAACAACAGUCCCAAGUCUUCAGAACAAAUCAACAGAAUUCAAUCAAGUAUUUCCUUGCACUUACUUGUUAUGACUUCUUAGUCUCUCCAGUCUGUGACAGUUACUCAUUUUCUCCCUGAUACAAGGACUACAACACUUUGGAAGGUGCUUGUCAGAAAUUUAUUCUCCUUAUAUACAUUCCUACACACAUGUGGAUGCUUUUAUUGAAACCAGUUCAUAGGUAUGUUUGUAUAAUCUUUAUACACAUAAAAUAUAUUUUUUUC